rnacentral:rRNA from 1 species
AACGAACGCUGGCGGCAGGUCUUAGGCAUGCAAGUCGAACGGGUGUAGUAAUACACCAGUGGCGAACGAGUGAGUAACGCGUGGGAAUCUGCCCAUCUCUGGGGAAGAACGUUUGGAAACGAACGCUAAUACCGCUUACGCUCGCAAGGGGAAAGAUUUAUCGGAGAUGGAUGAGCCCGCGUUGGAGUAGUUAGUUGGUGAGGUAACGGCUUACCAAGGCGACGAUCUGUAGCUGGACUGAGAGGACGAUCAGCCACACUGGAACUGAGACACGGUCCAGACUCCUACGGGAGGCAGCAGUGGGGAAUCUUGCGCAAUGGGCGAAAGCCUGACGCAGCAAUGCCGCGUGAGGGAAGACGGCCUUAGGGUUGUAAACCUCUUUCAGCAGGGACGAACACAGACGGUACCUGCAGAAGAAGCCCCGGCUAACUACGUGCCAGCCGCCGCCGUAA